UUUUAUUUUAGUCAUUUAAUUAAUUACCCAAUCUACAUAGCAAGGAAAACAUUAAAUCCUCGGUUAAAACAAACCAUCUGACUUCCCCUCUUCUUUCACUAAUUACUUCAACUUUUUUCUAAAAAAAAAAAACUACAAUCAAAUUAUACCACGAAAAGUUUCUACAAUCUACUUUGAGGAAUAACGACGGAAAAGAAAUCAACCUGUGCUCGAGUCUAACGAAUUUGUACGCGAAAUCGAAGAGGAAUGAAGAAGCUGGAGCAUUUGAAGGGCUAAAUCCCUAUCGGUUUACUAUGACUUAUGCUUACUGGAAAGAUGAUAAACACAAUGAACAAGUCGUUAUUUCUAGAUGGAAGCUCAUCAACGUAUCAAUUCGAUAGGGGAUAUGAUAACGGAGUUAGCAGCUGGAUUAUCUACUUGGAUGUUAGUUUCUACAGAUAAUUGAUUUUCAUAUUAAACAUAACUAAGUCAUCAAAUUAUCUCCGAAGAAAUUUCAUAUUUAUAAGAGGGCAACUGGUGUGGAAGUAUCCCAGAUUGUCUUAAUCGUUCAUUUAAGUUCUUAGGUUCUAUCAAGAAGAUGAAAGAACCAUCUAUUAUAUUAUCUUCAAGAAAUUUUAGAUUCCGCAACUCUUGCAGCUGCAAGUGCCGGAAGCUUAGAGAAGUUUAUGGAUCUAGCACUCAAGUAAGUCAAAGAAUGAGUGAAGUGGUAAAAGAGUGAAAAUAUUGUGAAGAUGGCAAGGUUGAAUGUAGGCAGACUUUGUAUCUUCUACAACAGCCAAUGAAGGACCAAACAAGGGCAUGAACCAUCCUUAUACUAAUGAAAGUCUCUUUGGCUAUAGUAGGGGUAUAUCCUCCAUCAAAGAAAGAGCCCAAGUAACAUUAGUAUUUCGGUGGAAUUAGAUGGCACAUAAUAUACUUUGACAGAAUGAUUUAAUUAAUUGUGGUCGGGUUAAUUAUUGUAAUAUAGAGAAAAAAGACCCAAAGGUCCAACAACACAAUUAGAGAACACUGAAAUUUUCUGAGAACAAUUAUGUUUACU